AAAAUUUUUAGUUUAAUAAGAAUAUUUUAUUUACAAUAAAAAGGUAAAAAAUUUU
rnacentral:tRNA from 1 species